rnacentral:rRNA from 1 species
CCUACGGGAGGCAGCAGUGAGGAAUAUUGGUCAAUGGGCGCGAGCCUGAACCAGCCAAGUCGCGUGAGGGAAGACGGUCCUAUGGAUUGUAAACCUCUUUUGUCGGGGAGCAAAAGACGCCACGCGUGGCGUUCCGAGAGUACCCGAAGAAAAAGCAUCGGCUAACUCCGUGCCAGCAGCCGCGGUAAUACGGAGGAUGCGAGCGUUAUCCGGAUUUAUUGGGGUUAAAGGGUGCGUAGGCGGAAGAUCAAGGCAGCGGUAAAAUUGAGAGGCUCAACCUCUUCGAGCCGUUGAAACUGGUGUUCUUGAGUGAGCGAGAAGUAUGCGGAAUGCGUGGUGUAGCGGUGAAAUGCAUAGAUAUCACGCAGAACUCCGAUUGCGAAGGCAGCAUACCGGCGCUCAACUGACGCUCAUGCACGAAAGUGUGGGUAUCGAACAGGAUUAGAUACCCGAGUAGUC